UACAGAGGGUGCUAGCGUUAAUCGGAAUUACUGGGCGUAAAGCGUGUGUAGGUGGUUAGAUAAGUUAGAUGUGAAAUCCCCGGGCUUAACCUGGGCAUUGCGUUUAAGACUGUUUAGCUUGAGUACUGUAGAGGAUAGUGGAAUUUCCAGUGUAGCGGUGAAAUGCGUAGAUAUUGGAAGGAACACCAGUGGCGAAGGCGACUAUCUGGACAGAUACUGACACUGAGACACGAAAGCAUGGGGAGCAAACAGG
rnacentral:rRNA from 1 species